rnacentral:tRNA from 1 species
GCCAGUGUGGCAUAGUGGUUUGAGUGUUGGCCUAAAACCCUAGAGACCAGAGUUUGAUUCCCAACUCAGACA